rnacentral:rRNA from 1 species
GACAGAGGGCGCGAACGUUGUUCGGAAUUACUGGGCGUAAAGCGCGUGUAGGCGGCUCGAAAAGUCGGAUGUGAAAGCCCUGGGCUUAACCUAGGAAGUGCAUUCGAAACUGCCGAGCUUGAGUUCUGGAGAGGAAGGCGGAAUUCUCGGUGUAGAGGUGAAAUUCGUAGAUAUCGAGAGGAACACCGGUGGCGAAGGCGGCCUUCUGGACAGUGACUGACGCUGAGACGCGAAAGCGUGGGGAGCAAACAGG